rnacentral:rRNA from 1 species
GACGAACGCUGGCGGCGUGCCUAAUACAUGCAAGUUGAGCGCUGAAGGUUGGUACUUGUACCAACUGGAUGAGCAGCGAACGGGUGAGUAACGCGUGGGGAAUCUGCCUUUGAGCGGGGGACAACAUUUGGAAACGAAUGCUAAUACCGCAUAAAAACUUUAAACACAAGUUUUAAGUUUGAAAGAUGCAAUUGCAUCACUCAAAGAUGAUCCCGCGCUGUAUUAGCUAGUUGGUGAGGUAAAGGCUCACCAAGGCGAUGAUACAUAGCCGACCUGAGAGGGUGAUCGGCCACAUUGGGACUGAGACACGGCCCAAACUCCUACGGGAGGCAGCAGUAGGGAAUCUUCGGCAAUGGACGAAAGUCUGACCGAGCAACGCCGCGUGAGUGAAGAAGGUUUUCGGAUCGUAAAACUCUGUUGGUAGAGAAGAACGUUGGUGAGAGUGGAAAGCUCAUCAAGUGACGGUAACUACCCAGAAAGGGACGGCUAACUACGUG